AUUUUCCCGUGCUUGACAACGCAGCAGACGCCUUUUCAGUUUCAGUGUGUUUUAUCUAAAAUUGUGAUUGUAUUUGCGCUGAAAAAAGAUUGAAGGCUGGUGCAUCAUGGGGCGACAUAACCCUUUAAGAAUUCUGGCUCUUUCACCAUUGAGCUCGUCACUGGUCUCCCCUGGGUCAGCACAGUACACACAACACGCUCAGCCAAGAACUCGGCCAAAAACAACAACAACGAAUGUGAACUGGAAAUGGUCGAUGAGACUUGUUCCAGCAGCGCCCAAUCUGACAACAGCUCAAUGUGCAGCCAGGGUAUUGUGUCCUUGGCGCCAAGCACUACCAGUCUGUAGAGACUGAACUUUAGACAUGCCAAACAAACACUUUCACUUUUAGUCCAUGUUUUAUUUUUAGAAUAUUUUUGGUGAUUUCUGGCAAAAAUCUUUUUUUCCGCGUAAGCUGUAUUAAGCAAGCUUUUCACCUUAGCCUGACCUUUGUUAGCGUCCAAUAGAAUUCAAAUAAAACUUCCCGCGGCCACGUACAGAUGAAUACACUUCAUUGACUGCAUUGGCUGAUUUGAGAA